CGCCGCCGCCGCGUGCGGCGCCGCCCGCGCCGCGCGCCCCGACACCCGACUGUUGUCGAAGGCGAUGUCACGCCGCAGAUUAUGUUACCAUUUCAGGAUGCCGCGCCGCCCGUGCUGCGCAACGCGGCGCCGCGCGCGCCCACGCCGCGGCUGGUGCGCGCCGUGUGCUCGGCCGCCGCCUGACGCCACCCGCUCGCAAUCCAACAUUUAAUUGUGAUAUUUAGUAUAAUACGUACUUUAUCUAAUAAGAUUUAAAAAAUGACUAUAAAACUA